UCUUCGUUUCUCCGUUAAACGGUAUAUAUAUUUUUGGGGCAAUUGCUUAUAUAUUUCUGAAAAGUUCCCGACUUUUCGAUUUACCUCUUUUAGAAGGCUAAUAUUGAAAAUACCCUUUCUAUGUUCCAACCUAUUUCUAAUAUACUCCUAAAGUUAAAAUCUGUUAAGUAACUCUGUUAGUUUUGUAAAAUUACUAUUUUGUCCUUUCAAAUAUACCCUUCCACCAUCACUUUCUUUCUUAUUUGCCCUUAAAGUCAGGGGUAUAAAAAGUAUUUGACUUUUGGUCUUUUUCAAUAUACUCCUCUACCGUCACCAACCUUUCUUAUUUGCUCUUAAGUUAAGGACAAAAUUGGCAUUUUAAUUUUUUUUAACUGUGGUAGAUAUUUAACUCACGUUUAACCGAGGUUAACUUAACAGGAGAUAACUGCGGGGGUAUUUUGUAAUAACAGUGGAACAUAUGAGGGGUAUUUUAGAAAGAAAAAAAAAUAGAAAUAAAUCGAAUAUUUCCAAACGUAUGAGGGGUAUAUAGGCAAUUAUUAUUAUUAUUAUUAUUAUUAUUAUUAUUUUUACGCCACUACC
rnacentral:lncRNA from 1 species